CUUGCUGGGGUGGAUUAGUGGCGAACGGGUGAGUAACACGUGAGUAACCUGCCCUUUACUUCGGGAUAAGCUUGGGAAACUGGGUCUAAUACCGGAUAUUCUGCGUGAUCGGAUGGUUGUGUAGGAAAGAUUUUUGGUAAGGGAUGGGCUCGCGGCCUAUCAGUUUGUUGGUGGGGUGAUGGCCUACCAAGACGACGACGGGUAGCCGGCCUGAGAGGGCGACCGGCCACACUGGGACUGAGACACGGCCCAG
rnacentral:rRNA from 1 species